UAAUUGAAGAGUUUGAUCAUGGCUCAGAUUGAACGCUGGCGGCAGGCCUAACACAUGCAAGUCGAGCGGUAACACAGGGAGCUUGCUCCCGGGUGACGAGCGGCGGACGGGUGAGUAAUGUCUGGGAAACUGCCUGAUGGAGGGGGAUAACUACUGGAAACGGUAGCUAA
rnacentral:rRNA from 1 species